GUUGGUGCUGUUUUGGUGGCACGAGGGGGACCUACACAAUAUUAGGCAGGUGGUUUUAAUGUUGUGGCUGAUCGGAGUAUGUAUUAUUAGUAUUAUUACUACAAAAAUACACAUUGUUAAUAAUGCUAUGAACAUUACGUGCCAAAUACGAAAGGAAAAGGAGACCAAGACCAUAUUGGAGAAAAAAACGUCAACACAACAAUGCAUGGAAUGUCAAGAGAAAGGGAAAUUUCAUGUUGCUGAAAUGAGAUGCACUGUGACAUCACUAUGCAGCAUGUUCCAUUUUGAUUCCAGUAAGGAGCAUGUUAUGAAGAAAUUUCAGCCUGGACAAAACAUUGAGCAGCAGGACUGCAAGCAACACACCUUGAAUCUACAGGCCUCAUCAUUUCCAUCGUACUGAAACACAUAUGGAAAGCAUCUUUUAAAAAGGACUAUCCUGAAAAUGUAUUGCUUUCUGUUCAUGAGCCACCAGCCCUGCUGACAGCGAAACUUAAUGGUACAAACUUUGUUUGAGCAAGUGCAAGUAGAUUUUUAUAGUCCUGUUUUAAAAGCAUGAAGACAGUAAAAGUGAGAGAAUGAGCUUUUGGCUCUUUUAUGCUUUAUGGGAUGUGGAAUAAUAUAAGAGCUGCAAUUUUAUACAUUCUUAGCAAUGGCUUUCUUAAAGGGACCUCUCUAUAGCCUACUUUUCGCUUUGGCUGUUGUGCUAACUUGAUUUUCCCAUUUAGGGUAGAACUCAGAUGCUGUUAUAAUAAAAGAUUGUGAUGAUUA